CGUGACUCUCGCCGGCGGGGAGGGGCGUGGACCCAAGAAGUCCCUGUGCGCUUGCGCAGAGACCGAACUACCGCUUUCCCCGUAACCAGGGAGACUGCAGUUUGCAGUGAUGUGGCUAAGAUACCCUUGUGCUAUUAAAGGCACAUUUACGUAUCUUUCAACGCAGUUUGUACCUUUGUUUAGGGUUCUAUUGAACUUUCUCUGUGCUCUUUAGAAAACCGUCGAAUAAAGAACUCAAAUGAUGCUGUUUUUGGACAGGGAGGUCAUGGACCAAGUACAAAGCGGCAAAAGGAUGGAAUUAAGGUACCUGACAUUGUUGAACCCAUGCCUGAUGCCACAUUAGCUCAGGACUACCUACAUGGACAUGGAUAUUUCCAGUGAAAGAAAGAAGAAAGCAUGCUUUUCUCUUGACUGUGCAGAAAAAAAAACUAUGUUUCUUUGAUUCUCCAUUUUACUAGAUGCCAUACCUUUGCAAUUACUUCAUGUGGAGUCUUGACCAAGAUUCAGGAAAUACUAGAACUUUCAGUCCCAGAAGGUUACUCUGGGCAUUACUAGUCCCCAUCAUUAUGAGUUGAGUUUUACUAGUUAAUUUCAGACGAAAAAUAUUUGUUUUUCCCCAAAUUCUGGGGUUACGUACUUUUACUACCUAUGAACUGACAACUGUAUCUUCAGUAAUUACAAUUUCCAACAAAAUGUUAUAGGAAUAAAGAAAAGAUGUUAGUUCAUUAUUCAGAGUUUAUGUUUAUUCCUUUAAUAAAAAGAAAUGGUCUGUAUUUCUUCUUUUCACAUUUAUUUCCUCAGUUCAAACCUGCUUUUCAGGUUAUCCUAUGACUUGAAGUUGACUAAUUUGUUCACCUUAAUUAGUUGUGUUGCAAUAUAUAUGUAAUUAGCUAUUUGCAUUGCAACCUGCACAAAAUUAUUCCUGUUCAUAAACUACUGAGAGGAAAGGGGCUUAAAGUUCAAAGGAGUUUAAUUAUGGUCUUGUAACCAUAUAGAAAAUAUUUGAAUGUUACAUUGGCAUUGGCUCUAUUGCAUUAAAAGAAGUUAUGAAUGACGAAUUGGCAAAGAUUUGCAAGGUGAUGAGUUUAAUCUUGUCUGUAUAAACCUAGACAGAUUUGUUUGCCUAUAAAAACUGGUUCUUAGAAAUCAGUUUGAUAAGUGUCUCAUUUCAUUCUGGUCA
rnacentral:lncRNA from 1 species